rnacentral:misc_RNA from 1 species
AGCUUCACUAUUAGAAGUGAAGCAGGGAGGAAGCUAUCUACUUGUAGCAACAGAUAUAGCUGCCAGAGGCGUUGACCUUCCAGAAACAACUCACAUAUACAAUUUUGAUCUUCCGAGAACUGCUGUAGAUUAUCUUCAUCGUGCUGGAAGAACAGGUAGGAAACCUUUUUCAGAUGAAGAAUGCUAUGUUACCAAUAUUAUUUUGCCAGAGGAGCAUUUUGUUCUGCAAAGAUAUGAAAAUGAACUGAUGUUUAAAUGUGAAGAGCUUAUCUUAUAGUUCCAUUGUUGAUUCAAUCUGUAUCUUA